rnacentral:misc_RNA from 1 species
UUCCGAGGGGCAUGCCUGUCUGAGCGUCAGUGAACUUCACAGGGUUGUAUUAUUGCAAGCAGUAUGGCAAUUCGGUGAUUUGAGUGUGACUAGUCUUACGAGUCUCACUUGAAAAGCAUCACGAUUGGUGUCAUAGGUUCGCCUCACCAAGAAUAUAACGUCUUGACCUCAGAUCAGGUAGGGUUACCCGCUGAACUUAA